rnacentral:rRNA from 1 species
UACGAAGGGUGCAAGCGUUACUCGGAAUUACUGGGCGUAAAGGGUGCGUAGGUGGUUUGUUAAGUCUGCUGUGAAAUCCCCGGGCUCAACCUGGGAAUGGCAGUGGAUACUGGCAAGCUAGAGUGCGGUAGAGGGUAGUGGAAUUCCCGGUGGUAGCAGUGAAAUGCGUAGAGAUCGGGAGGAACACCAGUGGCGAAGGCGGCUACCUGGACCAGCACUGACACUGAGGCACGAAAGCGUGGGGAGCAAACAGG